GGGCAUUUAGCUCAGCUGGUUCAGAGCACUACUUUGACAGAGUAGGGGUCACUGGUUCGAAUCCAGUAAUGCCCA
rnacentral:tRNA from 1 species